rnacentral:sRNA from 1 species
UGCACAAGAGAUGGUGAGUCGUGAGCUG